rnacentral:rRNA from 1 species
AAUGGCUGCAGUAAUUUGACUGUACAAAGGUAGCAUAAUCAUUAGUUUUUUAAUUAAAAGCUUGUAUGAAAGGUUGGACGAAAUAAAAUCUGUCUCUUUUUAAUAUAAUUAGAAUUUAAUUUUUAAGUUAAAAAGCUUAAAUUUUUAUAAAAGACGAGAAGACCCUAUAGAGUUUUAUAAUUUAAAUUUAAUAAUUAAUUUAGAUUUAUUAUUUUUAUUUUUUAAAAAUUAUUUUAUUGGGGUAAUAGAAAGAUUUAAAAAAUUCUUUUUUUUAAAAUUCAUUAAUUUAUGAAAAUUUUAUGAUCCAUUAAAUUUUGAAUAUAAGAUUAAAUUACCUUAGGGAUAACAGCGUAAUUUUUUUAAAGAGUUCUUAUCGAUAAAAGAGUUUGCGACCUCGAUGUUGGAUUAAAGAUUAAUUUAGGUGUAGAAGUUUAAAUUUUUGGUCUGUUCGACCAUUGAAUCUUUACAUGAUCUGAGUUCAAACCGGUGUAAGCCAGGUUGGUUUCUAUCUUUAUUAAAUUUUUAUAUUUUAGUACGAAAGGACCAAAUAUAUAAUAUAUUAAUAUUUAAUUUUAUGAAGAU